GACACUCCCUUCUUCACGAAAUGUAAACCAGAACAGAGUAGAGUAGGUUUGGAUGAUACGGCUGAAAAACGCGUCAUGACGUAAACCUUUCAUAUUUUAACAGCACUCUCGCUUUUGUUUUGGUCAUAUUUACCCAGAAUGCCUUGUGUUUGAGUCAACUUCCUACUUUUGUAGCAGUUUCCAGUCAGUUUGACAUCCACAUAUGCAUUUGUACCAGAAUUCACUUAAUCAAAACCAAGACCGAGGUUUUUAGGCAGACCAGAGUUCACUUUUUUGAUUCAAUUGCUUCCCCAAACAAACCUGACUUUCUAGACAAAUGAAGUAGAGUUGGAUUAAAGCGGACUAAACAUGACAGGUGUGAAUGCACCCUAAAUAAUCCAGAUAUCUGGAAAGAUGUAGGAGAUUUUCACCAAAGUUUUGAAUUGGUAAA